rnacentral:rRNA from 1 species
GGACCCGCACAAGCAGCGGAGCAUGUGGUUUAAUUCGAAGCAACGCGAAGAACCUUACCAGGGCUUGACAUCUCCCUGACCGGCGUGUAACGGCGCCUUCUCUUCGGAGCAGGGAUGACAGGUGGUGCAUGGUUGUCGUCAGCUCGUGUCGUGAGAUGUUGGGUUAAGUCCCGCAACGAGCGCAACCCUUGUUUUUAGUUGCCAUCAGGUAAAGCUGGGCACUCUAGAAAGACUGCCGGGGAUAACUCGGAGGAAGGUGGGGAUGACGUCAAAUCAUCAUGCCCCUUAUGUUCUGGGCUACACACGUGCUACAAUGGCCGGUACAAUGGGAAGCGAAAUGGCGACAUGGAGCAAAUCACCAAACCGGUCCCAGUUCGGAUUGCAGGCUGAAACCCGCCUGCAUGAAGUCGGAGUUGCUAGUAAUCGUGAAUCAGAAUGUCA